UCUUCAUUUAACGUAUAAGAUCCCACUCUGGAUGCCACAAAAAUGCAUACCUUUUUCAAAAAUUCGGGUUAUAUGGUAAACAACAGGAAGUGAUACUGAGGUCCCCUUUGAACAGUUGCAUGAAAAUGUACACACAAAAGCAAAGGUUGGGUUCUUGGUGGACCCCGUAUCGAUAAAAAAGAAACAAGGUAUAAGAAAGUAAGAAACCAUACUUUCACAGAAUAUUACAUUCUUCACUUAUAUUUUUCUCACUCAACAAAUAGCUUACUUCUAGUAGUGCCCUCCCUUGAACAAAAACCUGUAGGCCAAUAUCUCACUUACAUUGAUUCUUCUCUUCUGCUCCUAUCUUGAGUUGCUGCACAUGGUCCCCUUUGGUCCACAAAUUUGUGUCGUGGUAAAUAUUUGAAGUGGUAGAACAGGGAGAACCAGUCAUGGUUGGAAGUGGCAGGAUUUCGGGUGAUCUAUUGCGAUAUGUUUUCUUGUUGGGGUUUCUGUGUUUACUAUGUUUUGGGUUGUUGAGCAAUCAACCGAGAAGAUUGGCUUUAAGUAGUGUUGCAUCAAGUAAAAGUUUCGAGCUUUUAGGGAAACAGAGGAUUGCUGUUCAUCAUGCUUCUCAUAUACAUUUUGUGAGCAAGAGAAGAGUGCCUAAUGGUCCUGAUCCUAUCCACAACAGAAGAGCAGGGAAGUCUACGCGUCCACCUGUUCGAGAUUGAGCUCUCAGGUCAGAUACAUGCAGAAGUUACAGAAGCUCACCAACUUAGAAAGGCUUCUUCUAGUAUCAUUUGUAAAGGUUUGAAAUGAAAAUUUUUACCCCACAUUUUGUGAAUGAAAUGGAAUCUGCUGUUUGCAACU